GACUUGAAAUGCCAAACCUUGAGCAAUCAGGGGACGGAAAGCCAACGGGACUUGGGUUCCAAUGAAUUCCAAUGAAUUGACUCCGUCUGUCAUUGAAUCUGCUUUCCCUUGUUAAUAUAGUUUCUCCACAAGAUGUUAUUCUCCAAGUUGGCCGGGUUGCCGUU
rfam:Geobacter uraniireducens Rf4, complete genome.